AGUGAACGCUGGCGGUAGGCCUAACACAUGCAAGUCGAACGGCAGCACAGUAAGAGCUUGCUCUUACGGGUGGCGAGUGGCGGACGGGUGAGGAAUACAUCGGAAUCUACUUUUUCGUGGGGGAUAACGUAGGGAAACUUACGCUAAUACCGCAUACGACCUACGGGUGAAAGCAGCGGAUCUUCGGACCUUGCGCGAUUGAAUGAGCCGAUGUCGGAUUAGCUAGUUGGCGGGGUAAAGGCCCACCAAGGCGACGAUCCGUAGCUGGUCUGAGAGGAUGAUCAGCCACACUGGAACUGAGACACGGUCCAGACUCCUACGGGAGGCAGCAGUGGGGAAUAUUGGACAAUGGGCGCAAGCCUGAUCCAGCCAUACCGCGUGGGUGAAGAAGGCCUUCGGGUUGUAAAGCCCUCUUGUUGGGAAAGAAAAGCAGCAGGUUAAUACCCCGCUGUUCUGACGGUACCCAAAGAAUAAGCACCGGCUAACUUCGUG
rnacentral:rRNA from 1 species